rnacentral:RNase_P_RNA from 1 species
GCGGGAGGCUGGAUGGUCGCGGAGUUGUUAAGCUUCGAGGAAAGUCCGGACUCCACAAAGCAGCGGUGCCGGGUAACGCCCGGGCGGGGUGACCCGACGGAAAGCGCCACAGAAAAUAAACCGCCUAAGUAAUUUCUUGGGUAAGGGUGAAAAGGUGGGGUAAGAGCCCACCGGGUUCAUGGUAACAUGAACCGCAUGGCAAGCCCCACCGGGAGCAAUGCCAAAUAGGAGCCACGCGCGUUANUUAGCGUUAUACGCUUGAUUUCGCAGAUUUGCUUUGGAUCAGUGGCUCGGGUAGGCAGCUAGAGGUUCGUUGGUAACAUCGGACUUAGAUGAAUGGCCAUUUAUGAAGGUUAAUCCUUUAGGACAGAAUCCGGCUUAUAGGCUUCCCGCAUAC